rnacentral:rRNA from 1 species
GAGUUUGAUCCUGACUCAGAAUCAACGCUGGCGGCGCGCUUAACACAUGCAAGUCGCACGAGAAAGCGGGAGCAAUCUCGCAAGUAAAGUGGCGUACGGGUGAGUAACACGUGGGUGAUCUACCUCUGGGUGUGGAAUAACGCUGGGAAACCGGCGCUAAUACCGCAUAAUCUCGAGAGAGCAAAGCAGCAAUGCGCCUGGAGAGGAGCCCGCGGCCGAUUAGCUAGUUGGUGAGGUAAUGGCCCACCAAGGCAAAGAUCGGUAGCCGGCCUGAGGGGGCACACGGCCACACUGGCACUGAAACACGGGCCAGACUCCUACGGGAGGCAGCAGUGGGGAGUCUUGCACAAUGGGGGCAACCCUGAUGCAGCGACGCCGCGUGAGCGAUGAAGCCCUUCGGGGUGUAAAGCUCUUUCGGCAGGGAAGAAACAUGACGGUACCUGCAGAAGCAGCUGCGGCUAACUACGUGCCAGCAGCCGCGGUGAUACGUAGGCAGCGAGCGUUGUUCGGAGUUACUGGGCGUAAAGGGUGUGUAGGCGGUUCUCUAAGUUUGGUGUGAAAUCUCCCGGCUCAACCGGGAGGGUGCGCCGAAAACUGGGGGGCUAGAGUGUGGGAUGGGAGAGUGGAAUUCCUGGUGUAGCGGUGAAAUGCGUAGAUAUCAGGAGGAACACCGGUGGUGUAGACGGCUCUCUGGACCAUAACUGACGCUGAGACACGAAAGCGUGGGUAGCAAACAGGAUUAGAUACCCUGGU